rnacentral:rRNA from 1 species
CGCAGCCGCGGUAAUUCCAGCUCCAAUAGCGUAUAUUAAAGUUGUUGCAGUUAAAAAGCUCGUAGUUGAAUUUCGGGGUUAGUAGGUUGGUCAUGCCUCUGGUAUGUACUGGUCUCACUGAUUCCUCCUUCCUGAUGAACCUUAAUGCCAUUUAUUUGGUGUUUUGGGGAAUUUGGACUGUUACUUUGAAAAAUUAGAGUGUUUAAAGCAAGCUAACGCUUGAAUACAUUAGCAUGGAAUAAUGAAAUAGGACGUUCGAUCCUAUUUUGUUGGUUUCUAGGAUUGACGUAAUGAUUAAUAGGGAUAGUUGGGGGCAUUAGUAUUCAAUUGUCAGAGGUGAAAUUCUUGGAUUUAUUGAAGACUAACUACUGCGAAAGCAUUUGCCAAGGAUGUUUUCAUUAAUCAAGAACGAAAGUUAGGGGAUCGAAGACGAUCAGAUACCGUCGUAGUCUUAACCAUAAACUAUGCCGACUAGGGAUCGGAUGAUGUUAAUUUUUAAUGACUCAUUCGGCNCCUUACG